rnacentral:rRNA from 1 species
UACAGAGGUGGCGAGCGUUAUUCGGAAUUAUUGGGCGUAAAGGGCGCGUAGGCGGCUUGACAAGUCCCGGGUGAAAUCCCUCGGCUCAACCGAGGAACUGCCUUGGAAACUGUCAGGCUUGAGGCCGGGAGAGGGUAGUGGAAUUCCCAGUGUAGCGGUGAAAUGCGUAGAUACUGGGAGGAACACCGGUGGCGAAGGCGGCUACCUGGACCGGUUCUGACGCUGAGGCGCGAAAGCGUGGGUAGCAAACAGG